CCCUUAGAUGUUCUGGGCCGCACGCGUGCUACACUGAGUGGAUCAGCGGGUCAGGUUGCGCGAAAGCGUUUCCUAAUCUUUAAAUCCGCUCGUGAUGGGGAUUGACGGUUGCAAUUUUCUGUCAUGAACGAGGAAUACCUUGUAAGCGCGGGUCAUCAUCCCGCGCUGAAUACGUCCCUGCCCUUUGUACACACCGCCCGUCACUCCUACCGAUUGAGUGGUCCGGUGAGGCUUUGGGAUCUGAGCAGAAAGAGCGUUUCGCUGUUUCUGCUCGGAAAACUCAGUCGAACCUUAUCAUUUAGAGGAAGGAGAAGUCGUAACA
rnacentral:rRNA from 1 species